UUUGCAGAGACGAGCAGAUUGUUGGAAAACGCAGUGAAGGUAAGAAACUUUUAAACGUAUUAUAAUUAUCUGUCAGUGUAACACUGAAGAGGAGCUAUUGAAAGACAUAGAAAUAUAAUACUCAUAGGAAUAGUUUCAGUUGUGUAUAAUCACCUGAAAAUAGGGACUUUUACAUUAGAAUGAGCAGCGUUUAAUACCUGUUGUUUAAUAUGUCAUUUACUCAUGUUUGUUUAACUCCUGUUGAUUUACAAUUCUCAGUUAAAACUGUCAUUUAACACGUAUAACUGACAUUUUUAGCUCCACCAUGGUUAAAAGUCUCUGAACAGAUAAAUCAUAAGGGUGUUGUUUAUUCAUAUUUGGACUAUAAUGAAGUGUGAGACCUGUAGUGGACAGUGGCAGUGCGUUAUCCACUCUGCUGUUGUUCUUCCUACAGAUGUAUCUCCUGUCCCCGAUGAUGCUGGUCCUGCUGUCGGCUGGAACCAGUUUGGCUGCUGUGAAUAUGGACUGGCUGACUAAUAUUGUUAGAGGCAUCAGGACACAGUACAGAAUAGACAGACAAUUCUGUGUGGCUGCAAACAUCCCACUGAAUCUUCCACCACAGGACCUCGCUAAUGUCCUUCGGAACGACGGCAACACAGAGGAUGUUGAAGAUGAACUUACAUAUAGUAAGGUGUACCAAGGCAGGAGUGUGACUAUAGCCAAACCUGUACGCCAUGAACAUGCAGAAUAUAUAGUUCUGAAAAACUUGGGCCAACUGAGCUCCAAUAGCGAGGGACACUUCCUGCUCAUCUACUCUUACCUCUCCCCAUGUGCAGGCCAGUGUGCAAAUCCCGAUGACUGGCACAACAUCCUUCAAUACAUUGUUGCAAAUGUUAUUCCAUAUUGGACAAAUUAUGCCUUUGUGUUUACAACAGUCUACGAUAACCCCAAUGAUGGUAGUACCAUUAGCAGACAAGACUUGACAAAAGCAGUAAAAGAGCUUGGGAAGUCUGGGCUUGGUCUUAGAAACAUUUUCCGCUGUUACCAACCAGGUCGUUUACCAUUUCAGUGCCACAGCUGCUCUUCACAGGGGAGAGUUUCAGAUGUAUGCGUUGAUAACAACUUUGUGCCUCAGCAGGGUAGAAGCAGAAGCAGCAGCAGAAGCACCAUCAGAAGCAGUAGCAGUGGCAGUAGAAGCAGGGACACAAGUAUGAGCACAGACAGAAGUAGAAGCACCAGUAGAAGCAGAGACAGAAGUAUGAGCACGGACAGAGGUAGAAGCACCAGUAGAAGCAGAGACAGAAGUACGAGCAGAGAAAGAAGUAGAAGCACCAGUAGAAGCAGAGACAGAAGUAUGACCAGAGACAGAAGUACGAGCAGAGACAGAAGUAGAAGCACCAGUAGAAGUAGUAGCGGCAGCAGUAGAAACAGGGACAGAGGUAGAAAGAGACAGAGAAACACGAGCAGAGAAAGAAGCCCAAUUGGAUGA
rnacentral:lncRNA from 15 species